rnacentral:rRNA from 1 species
UACGGAGGGUGCAAGCGUUAUCCGGAUUCACUGGGUUUAAAGGGUGCGUAGGCGGCUUGAUAAGUCAGUGGUGAAAGCUCGCAGCUUAACUGUGAAACUGCCAUUGAAACUGUCAGGCUUGAGUACAAUUGAAGUGGGCGGAAUACAUCAUGUAGCGGUGAAAUGCUUAGAUAUGAUGUAGAACACCGAUUGCGAAGGCAGCUCACUAAAUUGCAACUGACGCUGAGGCACGAAAGCGUGGGUAGCGAACAGG